GUUUGUGGCCAUACCACUCUGGGUAUGUCUGACAUCAUAAACUAAGUGGGGCUGGUCCUGGUUAGUACCUGGAUGGGAGACUGUGUAUCCAGGCAACCUGACU
rnacentral:rRNA from 1 species